ACUCCUACGGGAGGCAGCAGUGGGGAAUCUUGGACAAUGGGGGAAACCCUGAUCCAGCCAUGCCGCGUGAGCGAUGAAGGCCUUAGGGUUGUAAAGCUCUUUUCAGGGNGGGAAGAUAAUGACGGUACCACCAGAAGAAGCCCCGGCUAACUCCGUUGCCAGCAGCCGCGGUAAUACGGAGGGGCUAGCGUUGUUCGGAAUUACUGGGCGUAAA
rnacentral:rRNA from 1 species